rnacentral:rRNA from 1 species
GCUGGCGGCGCGCCUAACACAUGCAAGUCGAACGAGAAAGGGGAGCAAUCCCUGAGUACAGUGGCGUACGGGUGAGUAACACGUGGAUGAUCUACCCUUUAGUGAGGAAUAACUAUGGGAAACCGUAGCUAAUACCGCAUAAGCUCGAGAGAGGAAAGCAGCAAUGCGCUGAAGGAGGAGUCCGCGGCCGAUUAGCUAGUUGGCAGGGUAAAAGCCUACCAAGGCAGAGAUCGGUAGCCGGCCUGAGAGGGCACACGGCCACACUGGCACUGAAACACGGGCCAGACUCCUACGGGAGGCAGCAGUGGGGAAUCUUGCACAAUGGGGGAAACCCUGAUGCAGCGACGCCGCGUGAGCGAUGAAGCCCUUCGGGGUGUAAAGCUCUUUCGGCAGGGAAGAUAGUGACGGUACCUGCAGAAGCAGCUGCGGCUAACUACGUGCCAGCAGCCGCGGUAAUACGUAGGCAGCAAGCGUUGUUCGGAGUUACUGGGCGUAAAGGGUGUGUAGGCGGUUGUUUAAGUUUGGUGUGAAAUCUCCCGGCUCAACUGGGA